GGAGGUUCGCUGCGAAGGGAAGUUUUACACCGGUCAAAGUUUUGAGCCGCUUCAGACGCUUCACACGGGUCGAUCGUUGCCGUCUGUCGUCUCGGUAACCGAGGAAGCUUCCCUUUCUUCACUUCUGGAAUCUUUCUGCAUUCCCGGCGGCCCAAAGCGAACAUCUGCACCAGAAGAUGACCGAAAACGGAGCGUUACCCCUUCGGGGGAAAGUGCUCACCGUUGACACCAUGAACGCCAACGUCAAAAAGGUGGACUACGCGGUUCGCGGACUGAUCGUUCAGCGCGCGGUUCAGAUCGAGAAGGAGCUGAAAGAGGGGGUAAAGAAGCCUUU